rnacentral:misc_RNA from 1 species
GAUGAAGAACGUAGCGAAAUGCGAUACGUAAUGUGAAUUGCAGAAUUCAGUGAAUCAUCGAGUCUUUGAACGCACAUUGCGCCCCCUGGUAUUCCGGGGGGCAUGCCUGUCCGAGCGUCAUUGCUGCCCUCAAGCCCGGCUUGCGUGUUGGGUCUCGUCCCCCUUCCCGGGGGGACGGGCCCGAAAGGCAGCGGCGGCACCGCGUCCGGUCCUCGAGCGUAUGGGGCUUUGUCACCCGCUCUGUAGGCCCGGCCGGCGCUUGCCGAUCAACCAAAACUUUUUUCCAGGUUGACCUCGGAUCAGGUAGGGAUACCCGCUGAACUUAAGCAUGUCAAUAAGCGGAGGA